GGGCCAGUGGUGAAACUGGUUAUACACGAGAGACUUAAAAUUUCUUGCCGAAAGGCGUGUGGGUUCGACUCCCACCUGGCCCACCA
rnacentral:tRNA from 1 species